AAAAAAAAAGUGUUUCUGGGACCCAGUUUAAGAAACUGUUUGUAAAAGUUCCAAAAGGAACCUGUAACUAGUUAUAUAGGAAUGUGGUGUCCAGGGUACCCCUGAGAAGUGUUCUAACAGAAUUCAGUGAUUGGUGAGCCUUUCCAAUUGUUCUUUUCCUUCUCUUUAAGCUAUUUCUUUUAUGUUUUUUUCACAUUUAUCUCUAUAGCAGCCAUUAAAUCCUAUGUUUAUUUGUUAAUUUUUAAGGUGCUGGUCUCUAAAUUAUUUUCUUAGGGAUAAUUGUUUCAUAUAUUUCAUAAACAUGCUCACUAAUUUCAGAUGUUUUUCCUAAAAUUUAUAUUAGUGGAUUCUGUUUUGCUUUUUUUUAACUUACUGAUAUUUUGAUUAAUCUUUUUUUUAUAUUUGCAUUUAUCUCAUUGUGGUUUGGUGUUUUACCCAUGUAUUUUUCUAGAUUUAUCUAGUCUUUCUCCCUACAGAUGACAGUAAGUUCUACAAUGCAGUUGCUUCUCUGUGAGGAACAUCUAUGCUUGGUUAUGAGGCUGUAACACAGAAGUCUAAUACAUUUGAUGGCACUUAACUCCCAAAUGUCCAACACUCCAGUGUGUUGGGGAGGCAACAGUGAAUAAAGCCAAGUUCCAACUCCUUCGAUGACCAGAUUUUAGUGAGAGGAAACAGAAAAUAAAGAAGCAAAUACGUAAUAUAAGAUGCCAGGAGUACUAAAGGAUCAAGAUCCAAAUUUCCCGUUCCCUCCUCAACUAAGUCUCACUGGAGAGACAAAGCCAGGUCAUUAUCUUUGUUCAAGUGACUAUUGCAAACAAGUUAUUAGGAAUGUAAUCAGCUGUGGUUCUCUGUGAUACUUUACUAAGCUGAAGAUACCUGAGCAGCAUUCAGGAGUUGGAGAGGAAUACUGACUAUUUCAACCCCAACAGAAGGAAGUGGGUGCCAUAAUCUGUAACUUGAUUCCUCACUGUAUUUCACCUCCAGAGUGAGGAUACUUUGUAAACCUCCAAGUUAUCAAAUUAAACUCAUCCAUUAAUGUAUGUGUGCGGUUCAGGGUGUUAAUGUAUCUAGUGACAUAUGUUUGUUUCAUGCUUAUUGAUUUCAUAUUUCAUACUAUCUCUCAAAUUUCUCCUCUUUAGCUGCACUGCUAAUAUCUCUUGCCUAGAUUGGUGCAACCUCACUUUGACCUUCCGGUUGGUCUCUUGCUAUGGGUCUUCCUCCAUAGUGAAGCUGAUCUUUUAAAAUGCAGAUGAAAAUGCAAGCAUUUGAAUGGCCUCCCAUUUCUUAACAGGAAAUACAAGGUCUUCACAAUAUGGAGCCUGGUUUUCCUCACUUGUACCCCAUGCAUCAAUAGAAGUUUACAGUUUUCUGCAAUCACCAACUGUCCUAGUUCUCACACACUGCUCCCCUGUUUAUAUUAUCUCAUACACCCUGGUUUGAGUCACACGCCAUACCUCUUAACCUAGCAUACUAUACUUACCUGAAAGGAUUAAGUACAUGGGCACUGGAGGUAACUUCCUCAAUUGGAGCCUGGCUUUUCUAAUAACUAUGUGACAUUGGGCAAGUUACUUAAGCUUCUUAAACUGUUUCCUUCUCUGUAAAUGGAGUUUAAUAACUGGAUACAACCCAGAUUGUUCUCAGGAUUACAUGAAAUAAUUCAUAUCUAGUACUUAGUAUAGCCUUAGCAUGUAGUGUAUUCUCAACAAAUGUUAGCAAUUUUUAUUGAUAUUACUAGCACCCCCAUCACCAAUAGGCUGGACUGGUUAUCUCUAUCAAUUAUAGCCUUUCUAGACCUAGAAACAAUUGCCAGGACUCAGUAAGCAUUCAAUACAUACAUAUUGAAAAAAUUACGUACAUUCCUAAUGUCUGCCAAUGGUAAUAUAUGUAUACUCCUAAAAGACAAGAUUUAUUUCUUUAUAUCCUGCAUUUUCCACCUAUUUGCUCAAGAAGUGUUCACUCAUUAAAUAUGUUUAGUGAAGUGAUAAAUGCAUUGUAGGACAAUAAAUACUAGUGAAAAGCAAUCACAGAUUCCCUUAUGGCUUAUAAACAGGAUAUGAUUCUCCUUUCCUAACCAAUGUCUUGUAUUUCCCUUUCUCUGGAUUUAACCAUUGCUCCUACCAUGUCUGCUGGUUAACAACUCUGGUAGUACUUAGAAAAUAUAUAUUGUAAUAUAUUGAUUAAUUAGUCUUACAUUAAUUCUAUUAAUUAUUGUACCAUCAAAACUAUCCAGUUAUUAUUUACUAAUAUUUUCCAGACUAUUAAUAUUCUUCCAGUCAGAAGAAUACUUUUGAAACUCCAAUAGAAUUGUCAAAAUGACAAGUGAUUUAUUCUUUCUCUCUAACAUACAUAGCUUGGAAAAUAUGCAUCCACUUCUUUGAGUCACUUUGCUUAAAAACCCAAUCCUUUGACUAUCUUUCUCCUAUUUUCAUUAUUAAAGAGAGCUAGUGCUACACAGCAUGGCUGUCUGGCUUCCCAAGGGGGCUCCUUUAUCAAGACAUCAGACUGUAAGUGCAAUGAGGGCAGGUAUCUCCCUAGUUUGGGAAGCACAGUGCUUGGCACAUAGAGUGCUUCAUAGUUUCCCCCCCUUCAACAAGUGAAUGAAUAAACAAAUGCAAGCACCUGAUUCAUUUUAAGUCCUAAAUAUUUAUCUUUAUUCUAACAUACAUUUGG